GAUGAACGCUAGCGAUAGGCUUAACACAUGCAAGUCGAGGGGCAUCGAGGGUAGCAAUACCUGUCGGCGACCGGCGCACGGGUGAGUAACGCGUAUGUAACCUGCCCGCAACAGAGGGAUAACCCGGCGAAAGUCGGACUAAUACCUCAUAAAACAGGGGUUCCGCAUGGGGCUAUUUGUUAAAGAUUUAUUGGUUGCGGAUGGGCAUGCGUACCAUUAGGUAGUUGGUGAGGUAACGGCUCACCAAGCCAUCGAUGGUUAGGGGUUCUGAGAGGAAGGUCCCCCACACUGGUACUGAGACACGGACCAGACUCCUACGGGAGGCAGCAGUGAGGAAUAUUGGUCAAUGGGCGAGAGCCUGAACCAGCCAAGUCGCGUGAAGGAUGACUGCCCCUAUGGG
rnacentral:rRNA from 1 species